UACGUAGGGUGCGAGCGUUAAUCGGAAUUACUGGGCGUAAAGCGUGCGCAGGCGGUUCGUUAUGUCCGUUGUGAAAGCCCCGGGCUCAACCUGGGAAUGGCAAUGGAAACUGGCGGGCUAGAGUGUGGCAGAGGGGGGUGGAAUUCCGCGUGUAGCAGUGAAAUGCGUAGAGAUGCGGAGGAACACCGAUGGCGAAGGCAGCCCCCUGGGCAGUAACUGACGCUGAGGAGCGAAAGCGUGGGGAGCGAACAGG
rnacentral:rRNA from 1 species